ACCCGAGCGCCGCGGCUCCGGCCCGGCGGCCGCUCCCUGCGCCCUGGGCCGCGGGUCCUCCGCCGCGCCUUCCGGGCGGGGGCCUCGGGCAGGGGCCUCCGUCUCCCGCUAGAGGGACCCGAGCUGUCUCCCGGCCGACUCGUCCCCGCGGACGGCGGGCGCCUCGGGAGCCGAGACGGCGAGCUCGUCACUUAGAUCUGGCACGUAGUGGGGCCUAGCAAGAGGCUGCCAGGUGGAAGGAAGCAGAGGUGGCGCGGGCCCGGCGCUCGGUGGGUGCGCCCUCAGUGUUUGGUCAUUGCCGGCCUUGUGGACUUGCUCGCAGGCUUGGAGGCGGGGGGCACUCUGACGUGUCGCCUCUGGGAGAACCGAGAGACCCGCUGUGAGCAGAGUUGACCACCGAGAGCCGGGGCCUCCCGGGGCGUAGCCUGGGAGAGCUCUCGAGUGACGGGGGAGCUCUGACCGUGCAAGUCUAGAACCAAUGAGAAGAUGAAACUAAACUCUAUCACCAAUUGAGCUGAACUCAAGAAUGUGGCCUGGCUGACAACUGGUCUCCUGUGGAAACUCCCCCACUGGCUGAACCUGGGAGGAAGCCCAGCAGAACUGAGCCCAGAUGACAGUGUCCUUCAAGGCCAGCUGCUGGAAAAGGACGGACGGUAGAUCUGGAAAGACAAAGGCAGAAUAUCUAGCAGGUUUUUGCUGUUGCAAAAGUGCUGCUAAGAAAAUUCGUGUAAAGCCCACUGGUGCACAAGUGCAGGAAUUUCUCCCGUGUAUUUAUACAGGAGCAGAGAUGCUGGAUCAAAGGCUACGUCGAUUUUCAGCUCUACAAGAUAAUUCCAGACUGUUUACCAAAGUGCUUUUUACCAAUUCACAGUUUCAGCAACAUCAUAUAUGGGGCCCUACUGCUCCACAUCCUCUUUGGCACUUGGGAUUGUCAGAUUUCUUAAUUUUCACCACUUAUAACAUGGGUAUCAAAUGAAAUCUCAUUGUGGUCUCAAUUUGUAUUUCCUGAUGGUUCAUGAGAUUGAACAGGGCUUCCUGUAUUUAUUGACCAUAAAUGUUUCAUCUUCUGGGAAAUUCUUAGCUUUUUUCCAUUUUUCCAUUGGUUGAUUCUCCUUUCCUCAUUAAUUUCACUAAUCUUUUAUUUAAAUUUUUAUUAAUGUAUUUAAGUCAUCUCUACCUCCAACAUAGGACUCGAACUCACAACCCCAAGAUCAAGAGUCGCAUGCUUCAUCAACCCAACCAGCCAGAUGCCCCUAAUUUUACUAAUUCUGGGACAAUUAUGGUUUUUUUCCCCCCUU